rnacentral:rRNA from 1 species
AACGAACGCUGGCGGCAGGCUUAACACAUGCAAGUCGAGCGGGCCCUUCGGGGUCAGCGGCGGACGGGUUAGUAACGCGUGGGAACGUGCCUUCUGCUCUGGAAUAGCCCUGGGAAACUGGGGGUAAUACCGGAUGUGCCCUGAGGGGGAAAGGUUUACCGGCAGGAGAUCGGCCCGCGUCUGAUUAGGUAGUUGGUGGGGUAACGGCCCACCAAGCCGACGAUCGGUAGCUGGUUUGAGAGGAUGAUCAGCAACACUGGGACUGAGACACGGCCCAGACUCCUACGGGAGGCAGCAGUGGGGAAUCUUAGACAAUGGGGGCAACCCUGAUCUAGCCAUGCCGCGUGGAUGAUGAAGGCCUUAGGGUCGUAAAGUCCUUUCGCCGGGGAAGAUAAUGACGGUACCCGGUAAAGAAGCCCCGGCUAACUCCGUGCCAGCAGCCGCCGUAAAAC